rnacentral:rRNA from 1 species
UACGAAGGGAGCAAGCGUUGCUCGGAUUUAUUGGGCGUAAAGGGUGUGUAGGUGGUUUUGUAAGUUAGAUGUGAAAGCCCAGGGCUUAACCCUGGAAUUGCAUUUAAGACUGCAUUACUUGAAGGUCAAAGAGGUAAGCAGAAUUUCCAGUGUAGAGGUGAAAUUCGUAGAUAUUGGAAAGAAUACCGAUGGCGUAGGCAGCUUACUGGUUGACACUUGACACUGAGGCACGAAAAGCGUGGGGGAGCAAACAGG